CUGCAGCCAGAGGGGUUUUUAUUGAGACCCAAAGUGUUGGUUCUGGUUUGAAAAAAUACAAACAAGUCAGAGCGUCUUGUCCCCGACAGCAGAAUGUGUGGUGCAGCAGACCAUUCUACACCACAGAAUAAUAGUGAGGUACAUCAGUCUAUUCUACACCACAGAAUUAAAGGAUAAUAGUGAGGUACAUCAGUCUAUUCUACACCACAGAAUUAAAGGAUAAUAGUGAGGUACAUCAGACUAUUCUACACUACAGAUUUAAAGGAUAAUAGUGAGGUACAUCAGUCUAUUCUACACCACAGAAUUAAAGGAUAAUAGUGAGGUACAUCAGACUAUUCUACACUACAGAUUUAAAGGAUAAUAGUGAGGUACAUCAGUCUAUUCUACACUACAGAUUUAAAGGAUAAUAGUGAGGUACAUCAGUCUAUUCUACACUACGGAAUUAAACAAUAAUAAUGAGGUACAUCAGACCAUUCUACACUACAGAUUUAAAGGAUAAUAGUGAGGUACAUCAGUCUAUUCUACACUACAGAUUUAAAGGAUAAUAGUGAGGUACAUCAGUCUAUUCUACACUACGGAAUUAAUGAAUAUAGUGAGGUGCCACAAAUCAUUCUACACUAUAUAGUAUUUAUCCUGUCACUUGUAGGUUGUAAUUGGACCUUUUUAGUGGACUUUAGUGCUUGUUUCAUACAAGAUCACUUGUCAGAGGUCAUUAACCACCACAGAAAUCUUUGUCAUGUCGCCCAUUGCUAGCUAAACUCUCACAAUGAAUGCUAGUGUGGUACAGCAGAAAAUUCUACACUAAAUAAUUACAGAAUGAUAGUAAAGUACAGCAGUCCAUUCCAUACUGCAGAAUGAUGGUGAGGAACAGCAGACCAUUCUACACUACA